rnacentral:misc_RNA from 1 species
AGUCGUAACAAGGUUUCCGUAGGUGAACCUGCGGAAGGAUCAUUACCGAGUGAGGGCCCUCUGGGUCCAACCUCCCACCCGUGUUUAUUUUACCUUGUUGCUUCGGCGGGCCCGCCUUAACUGGCCGCCGGGGGGCUUACGCCCCCGGGCCCGCGCCCGCCGAAGACACCCUCGAACUCUGUCUGAAGAUUGUAGUCUGAGUGAAAAUAUAAAUUAUUUAAAACUUUCAACAACGGAUCUCUUGGUUCCGGCAUCGAUGAAGAACGCAGCGAAAUGCGAUACGUAAUGUGAAUUGCAAAUUCAGUGAAUCAUCGAGUCUUUGAACGCACAUUGCGCCCCCUGGUAUUCCGGGGGGCAUGCCUGUCCGAGCGUCAUUUCUGCCCUCAAGCACGGCUUGUGUGUUGGGCCCCGUCCUCCGAUCCCGGGGGACGGGCCCGAAAGGCAGCGGCGGCACCGCGUCCGGUCCUCGAGCGUAUGGGGCUUUGUCACCCGCUCUGUAGGCCCGGCCGGCGCUUGCCGAUCAACCCAAAUUUUUAUCCAGGUUGACCUCGGAUCAGGUAGGGAUACCCGCUGAACCUAAGCAUAUCA